GAAGAAGAAGAAGGAGAAGAUCCGCCAUUGUUAGCUCUGUUUUGAGAUUUACAGUUUUGAACAUUUGUGGAGCAGAGGUGCACCAUGGCUUGCCACAAUGUCACAAUGGGUUCUUGGAGAGCCGCUGCUGUUGACUUGCUGCAUGUCUCCUCUCUGCGGCAAAACUCCACAAAUACUCCACUCACCAAGUUCCAGAGGAGAGGAUCACCAGACACCACCGGCCGUA
rnacentral:lncRNA from 1 species